rnacentral:rRNA from 1 species
UACGAGGGGGGCGAGCGUUGUUCGGAAUUAUUGGGCGUAAAGGGUGCGUAGGCGGUUUGGUAAGUCUGAUGUGAAAUCUAUGGGCUCAACUCAUAGUCUGCAUCGGAAACUGCCGGGCUUGAGUAUGGGAGAGGUGAGUGGAAUUCCUGGUGUAGCGGUGAAAUGCGUAGAUAUCAAGGAGGAACACCUGUGGCGAAAGCGGCUCACUGGACCAUAACUGACGCUGAUGCACGAAAGCUAGGGGAGCAAACAGG